rnacentral:tRNA from 1 species
UUAAUUGAAACCAAAAUAGAGGUAUAUUACUGUUAAUAAUAUUAUUAAGUAAAUCUUCAAUUAAA